rnacentral:tRNA from 1 species
GCAUUUGUAGCUCAGUGGAUAGAGCGGCCGCCUCCUAAGCGGCAGGUCCCGGGUUCGAUCCCCGGCAAGUGCA